CCUACGGGGGGCUGCAGUAGGGAAUCUUCCGCAAUGGACGAAAGUCUGACGGAGCAACGCCGCGUGAGCGAAGAAGGCCUUCGGGUCGUAAAGCUCUGUUGUUAGGGAAGAACAAGUAGCGCAGUAACUGGCGUUACCGUGACGGUACCUAACGAGAAAGCCACGGCUAACUACGUGCCAGCAGCCGCGGUAAUACGUAGGUGGCAAGCGUUGUCCGGAAUUAUUGGGCGUAAAGCGCGCGCAGGCGGUUCCUUAAGUCGGAUGUGAAAGCCCACGGCUCAACCGUGGAGGGUCAUUGGAAGCUGGGGGGCUGGGGUGCAGAAGGGGGGAGCGGAAUUCCGCGUGGGGCGGUGAAAUGGGUAGAGAUGUGGAGGACCUCGAGUGGCGAAGGCGGCUCACUGGACUGUAGCUGACGGUGAGGCGCGAAAACGGGGGGAGCAAACAGGAUGAGAUACCCCUGUAGGC
rnacentral:rRNA from 1 species